CUAAGGCAAUCAGCUCCCUAGGCUUUGUUCGCUCCAGGAACAAGCCGGCCCCGGGGCAGUUCUGGAUACCCGCCUCAAAUGCCAUCUCCGCUUUCAGUCCAAGCUCCUGCUUGCGCCUGCUGAGCUCAGGAAGGGUCACAAUGCAACAGGGGUCGGCGACCAGGGCCGGCCAGGCUCCGGCCCCCCUGCCGGGGGAGGAGGAAGCUGCUGCCAGCUGCUGGAGCCGGAGAGCGGAGGAAGCGCAGUCCUGGGGGUGGCUCUUGGUGAGGCUGCCGGGCAGGAGGCUGCAGAGGCCGGGGGGCAGGAGACAAAGGCCCGGCGACCCCUGGCUGCCGAGGCGGGGAGAACCGGCUGGACAGUGGGCUGCGGCAGCAGCUGCAUGCGGAGUAACAAAGCCCCCGUCUGAGGCCGUCCCGAGGCCACUGAUGCCGCGACGGGAGCCCAGGCGGCACCUCGGCUCCGGCUGCCCCCGCCGCGCGCUGGGCUCACACGCCCGCGGGCUGCAUCCACCGCUGCCGCCGGCUCCGCUCCAUGCCCGGAGUCAGAGAGACGCUCCCCGCGCAUGCGCCCCACCCCUAGGCGGCCCCGCCCGGUUAAAGGGACAAGAGACCCCCCGCCGGGCAGCCUGAGCCCCCGGGCUCAUUGGGGGCGGGCGCAGCGGACCUGUGAGGUAGGAAAGGGGAGUCUCUUCCCCGGCCCCGCCCGGAGCGGAGCGUCCCUGCCUGCCUGAGAGCGACGCGGGGUUCGCCCGACCGACCGACCGCGCUGCUGCCGCUUAAGCGACUACUGCACAAGAGCAGCGCUGAGGCAGCCGGCAGCGGCUGCUGCUGCACGGGAGGAGGGGAGGAGGCACGCACAUGAUUGGCCGCCCUCCCCUCCCCGGCACCCACCAGCAGGAGACACCGAGGGGGCGUCCGGCGGGAGACGUCUGGAGUAGCCCUCACUCACCUGAGCAGCUGGUGGGGCUUCGGACCAGUAAUAAUCAACAAUGGAUAAAUUCUUAAUAAAGUUACCCGGAGGAAAAGGUAAUUCAUCAAGUGACGGCCUGAGUUCAACAUCCAGCUUUCAAACUGAAGUUAUACAAAAGAAAGAUGCAGCAAAUCUACAAGAUAAGAAAUGGAGUUUUCAGCAGUCUUGGCUAUCAAGAUUUAAGUGGUUGGAGUACAAUAGUGAAUUAGAGUUUUUUCUUCAGUCUGCAAAAACUGUUCGAAAAAGAAGAUCUUUAUAUUUUCUACAAAGGCCGAACCAAUGUUUAUUUCAUCCGGAUUUCAAGAUUGGAGACACGCAUUGCAUGGUUUUACAUCACUCAAAAAAUCCUCUUGUGACAAGGAAGCGGUAAUGAAAUAUGUUGCUUUGCAGUUUCCGGGGGGACCCUCCACCAGCACAGAAGGGCCCCCCACCCACAGUCACUGCUUCUGCCCCACGCUGGACAAGGGGUAGCCCCACGGCCAGUGAGGCUACAGUGAGAGGCAGCAGCAGGAGAUGCAGCCCUCCCCCCAGCACCCACCACAAGGGAGGUGAGGGGGCUUCCUGGACCUGAGAGGGGCCCUUGGAACACGUGUACUGACAGUGGUGCGAGGUAAAUGUUUCUGCACUAAUGUCGGCCAAUUACAGAAAAGAAUCACAAUCAGCUAGGAUUGCACUGCACAACAUUUUGACUGGUGUUCAGUACCUAGCUCAACCAGGAAUAGCAUUAAGUGGACGUAAUGAGAGUGAUUCAAAUUUGAUGCAGUUCUUGUUGCUACGCAGUACAGAUUCAGAGGAACUGAGACAGUGGCUUAAUCACACAAAAUACAAGUGGCUGUCACAUGAGAUUAUAAACGAAAUAAUUGAAAUGAUGGCAAUGAUGGUGCUAAGACAAACUGCAAAAGAUAAAGGCUUCCAAGUUUUAUGCCAUUGUAAUGAAUGAGACUACUGAUUUUGUCAAGAAAAGAACAAGGAAGUUUUUCUUUAAGGUUCUUUUCUAGUGAUGACUGGGAGAUUUAUGAGGCGUUUAUUGGGUUUUACCAAACUGACGCAAUGGAUGCUGCUUCUCUUUUCAAAAUUGUGGAAGAUUGCCAGCGGGGCAGUGUUACGACGGAGCCAGUAAUGUGUCUGGCAAAUUUACUGGGGUCCAAGCCAGAGUCAAGGAUCGAGAGCCGAGAGCGGAAUUUGUGCACUGUGCUGCACAUUCCCUUAACCUUGCCACACAGGAUGCCCUGCAUAAAAUUCAAGAACGUCAUGAUAUGUUUUUGAUGGUGAAAGAUCUCAUCAGUGCUGGCAGUGAGUCACCAAAAUGUAUGACAGCAUUCAGAGAAUUUCAGAGUGAAGGGGAACCUUCUUUACAACCAUUGUGCCCAGCAAGAUGGACACUAAGGAUCAGUAGCAUUAAAUCACCUCUCCACAACUACAAGGCCAUGAUGAACUGCCUAGAUGAACUUUUAGUUACUCUUCCAAUGAAUUUGGCUCAAAAUGUAGCGGAUUCUCAAAGCAGCUUCAGUCUUUUUCAAUGUACUUUACCUAACAAUUCUUGUGAAAGCCUUGGGUCCUGUAGAAGAAGCAAAUGCAAAAAUUCAAAGCCCAAACAUGUCAUUGGCAAGCAUUAUGAAGAAAGUUGGCCUGUUGCAAGAGGUGUUGAGUGGGAUGUGCACCGACUCAUCAUACAAUCACUUCUGGGAAACAACAGUAGAGAAGGCAAGAAAUAUUUAUUUAGAUGAUCCUACACUCCCAAGAAAUACAAGCCACCGAGACGGCUCGACCACCAUGGAAGCUUCCCUCACACCUUCAGUGACCCCAAAGAGUAUUUUCAUCAAAUAUAUGUCGGGAUCAUUGAUGCUUGCAAAGUUGCCAUUGAACAGAGGUUUUCAAUAACUGAAGCUUUCCAUGGUGACAUCGCCUGUGGGGGAAGGUGGGAAGACCUGGGCAGGUUUAGUCUAGGGCAGAGAAAGCUGCCGGGGACCAGCUAACAGUCUGCAAUAUGUUCAGGGUUGGUACAAAGAGGAGCGUGAUCUAUUGUUCCGCCAGAUCCACUAGGACAAGAAGUCAUCGGCCUAGUCUGCAGUAAGGGAGAUCUAGGUUAGACACAGGCUUUUUAACUACAAAGAUAGUUAAGCCUAGCAACAGGCAGGACUAGCCCUAACCAUUUUGCCAACCAGGGCAGAAAAUGUUUUUUGUUGGUUCACUCCUAGACCAGUGCAAAAAUGAAACAAACAAGAUCAGCCAAUCAGUGUAUGGGGGGGGGACAACAACCUGCCAGCCAGUCAUCGGCUGAGAAAGAAAAAAGCCAAGUGGUGCAGCGGUCCAGCACUCCCUGGAAGUUGGCACCUGGGAUGACCGCCCUUCUCACCUGUCCCUAGAACUGGCCUUGGAAACAGGUUGCUGAGGGAAGUUGUGGACUCCCAGGCUUUGGAGGUUUUUAAGAAUAAGUUAGACAACUGCCAGGAUGGUCUCAGUUUACUUAAUUCUGCCCAAGCAUGGGGAGAGGAACGGAAUGAUCUCUUGAGGUCCCUCCCAGCCCUACAUUUUUAUGAUUCUAUAUGCAGGAAUUUGAGAAUGGCAUGGCUGAGCUGCUAACAAAAAUACAUGCUCUCAUUUAAAAUCAGGUGCUUUGCUGGAGGCCUGGAGCAAAUGGUGUAACCCCUUCCCUUCCCCCGCUUUUUAUUCUCCCAAAAUGCUAGAGGUGAUCCUGGCAAUCACAGAUCAAUGACCCUUUGUUCAGUCCCUGAUAAAUUAAUUGAAACUAUAAUUAAAAUAGAAUUAUAAAGAGCUAGAUGAUCAUGCAGUGAUAUUCAGAAAAUAGUAUACCUCAUCUAAAGGAAAACUGCCUCUCAUCUACAAGUAUUCAAGUGAGUUAGCAAAAUAAUGCAUAAAGGAGAACUGGUUGAUGUAAUUUGUUUGGCUUUUCAAAUAGCCUUUGACAAAUUGUCUCACAAGAGGCUAUUACGGAAACUAAUCAGUCACAGCCUGAGAGAUAAAAUUCUGUCAUGGAUUAGAAACUGGCUAAAAGACAGAAAACAAAAGAUAAAUGUUUAAAUAUCAACAAGGCACAAGGUUAACUGUGGGGUGCCACAAGGACUCAUACUGUGUUGUUUAUUAUUCUGAUGGUGAUGUGGCUAACUUGCAGAUAUAUUUAUUUCAGUAACUCAAGGCUAGAGGUGGCUGUUAAGAGUGUUAGCAGUUUAACAAAGCUGGGUAAAUGAGUAGCUUGAUGGCAAAUGAAAUUCUGUGUGGAGAAAUGCAAGGUAAUAUGCACUGAAGAAACAAAAUGAGCUAUUGCUGGGUUCUGAGUGAAUGGCAACCACUAGAGGGAAAGACUUGGGUGUAAUUGGGAACAAGUCAAUGAAAGCCUCUGUUCAGAAAAAGUUUUAAAACAUUAGGCUGUAGGAGGAAUGGUAUGAAAAAUAACACUAAACAUUAUUAUUAUUUAUUAUAUGCACACUCUCUACGCCUUCACUUGGGAUACUGUGCUCAGUUCUUGGCCCUCUGUCUCAAAAAGGAGAAACACAAGGGAUUUAAGAGAUGGGUAAUAAAAAAUUCCAUAUAAGAAGCAA